UACGUAGGGUGCGAGCGUUAAUCGGAAUUACUGGGCGUAAAGCGUGCGCAGGCGGUUCGCUGUGUCCUGUGUGAAAUCCCCGGGCUCAACCUGGGAAUGGCAGUGGAUACUGGGAGGCUAGAGUGUGUCAGAGGAUGGUGGAAUUCCCGGUGUAGCGGUGAAAUGCGUAGAGAUCGGGAGGAACAUCAGUGGCGAAGGCGGCCAUCUGGGACAACACUGACGCUGAGGCACGAAAGCGUGGGGAGCGAACAGG
rnacentral:rRNA from 1 species